AAGUCGAACGAUGAAGCCCAGCUUGCUGGGUGGAUUAGUGGCGAACGGGUGAGUAACACGUGAGUAACCUGCCCUUGACUCUGGGAUAAGCCUGGGAAACUGGGUCUAAUACUGGAUAUGACUUCUCAUCGCAUGGUGGGGGGUGGAAAGAUUUAUUGGUCUUGGAUGGACUCGCGGCCUAUCAGCUUGUUGGUGAGGUAAUGGCUCACCAAGGCGACGACGGGUAGCCGGCCUGAGAGGGUGACCGGCCACACUGGGACUGAGACACGGCCCAGACUCCUACGGGAGGCAGCAGUGGGGAAUAUUGCACAAUGGGCGCAAGCCUGAUGCAGCGACGCCGCGUGAGGGAUGACGGCCUUCGGGUUGUAAACCUCUUUCAGUAGGGAAGAAGCGAGAGUGACGGUACCUGCAGAAGAAGCGCCGGCUAACUACGUGCCAGCAGCCGCGGUAAUACGUAGGGCGCGAGCGUUAUCCGGAAUUAUUGGGCGUAAAGAGCUCGUAGGCGGUUUGUCGCGUCUGCCGUGAAAGUCCGGGGCUUAACUCCGGAUCUGCGGUGGGUACGGGCAGACUAGAGUGCAG
rnacentral:rRNA from 1 species